UACAGAGGGUGCGAGCGUUGUUCGGAAUUACUGGGCGUAAAGCGCGCGCAGGCGGCCCUUUAAGUCUGACGGUGAAAUGCCGGGGCUCAACCCCGUGCCCGCCGCGGAUACUGGAGGGCUGGAGACACGUAGAGGCAAGCGGAAUUCCGGGUGUAGCGGUGGAAUGCGUAGAGAUCGGGAAGAACAUCAGUGGCGAAGGCGGCCUGCUGGGCUGUUGCUGACGCUGAGGCGCGACAGCGUGGGGAGCAAACAGG
rnacentral:rRNA from 1 species